rnacentral:rRNA from 1 species
AUACGGAGGGGGUUAGCGUUGUUCGGAAUUACUGGGCGUAAAGCGUACGUAGGCGGAUUAGUAAGUUAGGGGUGAAAUCCCGAGGCUCAACCUCGGAACUGCCUCUAAAACUGCUAGUCUUGAGUUCGAGAGAGGUGAGUGGAAUUCCUAGUGUAGAGGUGAAAUUCGUAGAUAUUAGGAGGAACACCAGUGGCGAAGGCGGCUCACUGGCUCGAUACUGACGCUGAGGUACGAAAGUGUGGGGAGCAAACAGGAUUAGAUACCCUAGUAGUCC